rnacentral:lncRNA from 1 species
AGAACCUGAGGGGGAAAAAAAAAGAUUUUAUCAAGGUCAAAGCCUUACUCUCUGCAGGAAGGAACACCUGUCCAUCCAGGAAUCACUGAGGGAAGCUGGAGACCUGAAUCAACUUAACCCCACAAGCAGUGGAGCCUAGGAUAAAUCCUGUUUAUAUCUGCCAAGCAAGGCAUGAAGGGCAUAACAGAUGCAAGGCUAUUCAUCACUUAUGUUGAAGAUAAAUACAUAGAAGUCGUUUUCAGAAAAAGAUUGACUGGAACUGGGGUGUUUGUUGGGGAGGGAAGGAGGAUCUUCAGUAAAGGGAAGCUUGAGGUACAAAAAGAGGAAGGUAGAAGAACUGACAACCCUUCUAGGCAUUGAUCAAGAACUGAGUUAUAGAAAGCUCCCAUUUGAUGACUGUUUAGGAUAGUCCGAAGGAUCUCUGGAGGAAAGGAAUGAGAUUCAAAGAGGGCUAAUCAUUUAGCAAGUCCUCCAACCAGUAACGUUAGUAGUUACUCAGCUCUCCUUUCCAUGAGCUGACUGAAAAAUGAGAAAGAAGCAAGCAUCCUGUGUUCAGAGAUCAAGGCAGCUACUCCUUUGAAGAUAUUCCCCAUGUAAGGGAUAGGUGUCUGUUUUAUAAUUAACAAAUAAUGUCCCUUAGCGGCCUAUAACUUCUAACUGCAACAAUUACUUAAUAAACGCCCUCUGCUUGAUUCCCAAGUUAUGGUCAAUGGCUAAAAUUUUUUUUGUCUACAAAACCUUGACCAUGAUUUAUUCACCAAUGUUAUCAACUUUCUCAGUAAGUUAAAUAAAAUUCAUUUUUUCCUCCUCUUUUUUCUUUUCUAGGCCCCCCACCCCCUCCUCUCAAAACUCAUCUUUAAAAGGUUACAUUUUCCUGGUGUUCCUGUCAUGGCUCAGUGGUUAAGGACCUGGAGUUGUCUCUGUGAGGAUACAGGUUCCAUCCCUGGCCUCAUGCAGUGGGUUAAGGAUACGGCAUUGCUCUAAGCAACAGCGUAGGUUACAGAUGUGGCUCGGAUGCAGUGUUUCUGUGGCUGUGGCACAGGUCUGCAGCUGCAGCUCUAAUUCGACCCCUAACCUGGGAACAUCCACAUGCCACAGGUGUGGCCAUAAAAAGAAAAAAAAUUUUUUAAAAAGGUUUCAUUUUCCUAAAGAAAUAAAUAGUUACAUUUUCCAGGGUAUUUAAGAUACAGUUCCAACAGAAAAACAUUCUACAACAAGAGUUGUGCUGUGUCAAGAUAAUCAGAUUUCACAGUUGAGACAAUUCAAAAUUAACUCACUAUAGCCCCAAAACUAUUUACUGGCAAUUUAGAGACUCUUAAGAAGCCAAAUGGGAACAAAAACAUCUUGUACCUUGGCAUAUACCUCUAUCAAUUAGACAAUGAAAAUGAUUCUUGAAAAGUUAAGACAGCCACAAACUUAAGGCAGUGGUAGUUGUAACACGGAGAACAGGUCAUUUAGUAAUGUCAGAUUUUGUUGUUGGUUUUUGUUUGUUUGUUUGUUUUGUCUUUUUGCCUUUUCUAGGGCUGCUCCAUGGCAAUAUAGAGGUUCCCAGGCUAGGGGUCUAAUCGGAGCUGUAGGUGCUGGCCUGCACCACAGCCACAGCAACACCGGAUCCUUAACCCACGGAGCAAGGCCAGAGAUCGAACCGCAAUCUCAUCAUUGCUAGUCAGAUUCAUUAACCUCUGAGCCACGAUUGGAACUCCCUUUUUUUACUUCUUAAAAUAUGAGUUGUCUCUUGUUCCAAAUAAUUUUUACUAAAACCUAAAAUAAGAAUAAACUGCAUAAGGACUAAUAUUCUAUUGAGAUGAUCAUGAUUUUACAACUUCUCAGUGAAAAAGCAAAACUUGCUGGAGGUUAAUGGAGAUGGCACUAAAGAUAGAACAACUUUGUUCCUACUACUAUUUACCUACUGCCUUUGAGAGCCUUUAAAAACCAUCAUGUUUGGAGUUCCUGUCGUGGCUCAGUGGUUAACGAAUCCGACAAGGAACCAUGAGAUUGCAGUUCGAUCUCUGGUCUCGCUCAGUGGGUUAAGGAUCCGGCGUUGCCGUGAGCUUUGCCGUGAGCUGUGGUGUAGGUUGCAGACACGGCUCGGAUCCCACGUUGCUGUGGCUCUGACGUAGGCCAGCGGCUGCAGCUCAGAUUGAACCUCAAACCUGGGAACCUCCAUAUGCCGAGGGAGCAGCCCAAGAAAUGGCAAAAACAAACAAACAAAAAAAACAAAAAAAACCCCAUCAUGUUAACAAGGAAUUGAUUUCAAACUACUGCCUAUAUAGAUCAAUGUCUAUGCAAUUUCAUGUAACUAUUUUUUAAUUUUUUAUUUAAAAAAUUUUUCAAUUACAGUUGAUUUACAAUAUGUAACUAUUUUUUAAAUAAAAAUAUUUGUAAAAGCUAAAAGAUGUUCAAUAAAAAAUAAUAAUGCAGGAGUUCCCGUCGUGGCGCAGUGGUUAACGAAUCCGACUAGGAACCAUGAGGUUGUGGGUUCGGUCCCUGCCCUUGCUCAGUGGGUUAACGAUCCGGCGUUGCCGUGAGCUGUGGUGUAGGUUGCAGACGCGGCUCGGAUCCUGCGUUGCUGUGGCUCUGGCGUAGGCCAGUGGCUACAGCUCCGAUUCGACGCCCAGCCUGGGAACCUCCAUAUGCCGCGGGAGCGGCCCAAGAAAUAGCAA